UGAUGCUCGGCGGGCGGCUCGCCGACCUGAUGGGCCGGCGGCGCACGCUCGUCGCCGGAUUCGUGCUGUUCGGCGCGGCGAGCCUCGC
rnacentral:tRNA from 1 species